GCCUGGGUGGCUCAGUGGUUGAGCAUCUGCCUUUGGCUCAGGGUGUGAUCCCUGAGUCAUGGGAUCAAAUCCCACACUGGGCU
rnacentral:tRNA from 1 species